AUGUUCGAGGGGAUGGAGCGGGCGGGGUACGGCGUGGGCGCCGGGGUGGUGCUGUCGCGGGACCCCAAGCCCCGGCUGCGCUGGACGCCCGACCUGCACGAGCGCUUCGUGGAGGCCGUCACCAAGCUCGGCGGGCCCGACAAGGCGACGCCCAAGUCGGUGCUGAGACUGAUGGGCAUGAAAGGGCUCACCUUGUACCACCUCAAGAGUCAUCUUCAGAAAUACAGGAUGGGAAAGCAGAGCAAGAAAGACACAGGCUUCGAAACCAACAGAGCCUUCGCCGCACAGGGCAUCAGUUUCUCCUCUGCGAUGCCUCCCAACGUUCCGUCCGCCGGGAAUAACACUACGGGAGAAACGCCACUCGCGGACGCAUUGAGAUAUCAAAUCGAAGUCCAAAGGAAGUUGCACGAACAGCUUGAGGUUCAGAAGAAGCUGCAAAUGCGCAUCGAGGCGCAAGGGAAGUACCUGCAGACGAUCCUGGAGAAGGCCCAGAAGAACCUCUCGUACGAAGCAGGCGGAGACGCAACCCUAGAGACAACCAGGUCGCAGCUCACCGACUUCAACCUAGCUCUCUCGGGGUUCAUGGACGACGCGACGCAGGCGUGCCAGCAGAACGGCGGGGAGCUGGCCAAGGCCUUGUCCGACGACGGCCUCAGAGCCGGCAACCUGGGCUUCCAGCUCUACCACGGCGGCGAGGACGUGAAAUGCGCCACGGACGAGGACCUGCUCCUGCUGGACCUGAACAUCAAAGGUGGGUACGAUCACCGGCUGUCCGCCCACGGCAUGCGGCGCGGCGCGGUGGACCUGGCGGUCGGCCAGCACCGGAGGUAA
rnacentral:rRNA from 1 species